rnacentral:lncRNA from 1 species
CAUUAGGGUUUUAAAUCCUAAACUGAACUUUUUCCAUUCAAUCAGCAUUAGGGUUUUAAACCCUAAACUGAAUUUUUCCUUUAGUCAGCAUUAGGGUUUUAAACCCUAAACUGAACUUUUUUCCAUUCAGCCAGCAUUAGGGUUUUAAACGCUAAACUGAGCUUUUCCAUGAAAUCAGCAUUAGGGUUUUAAACCCUAAACUGAAUUUUUCCUUUAGUCAGCAUUAGGGUUUUAAACCCUAAACUGAACUUUUUUCCAUUCAGCCAGCAUUAGGGUUUUAAACCCUAAACUGAGCUUUUCCAUGCAAUCAGCAUUAGGGUUUUAUACCCUAAACUGAAUUUUUUCCAUUCAAUCAGCAUUAGGGUUUUAAACCCUAAACUGAAUUUUUCCUUUAGUCAGCAUUAGGGUUUUAAACCCUAAACUGAACUUUUUUCCAUUCAGCCAGCAUUAGGGUUUUAAACCCUAAACUGAGCUUUUCCAUGCAAUCAGCAUUAGGGUUUUAAACCCUAAACUGAACUUUUCCCAUUCAGUCAGCAUUAGGGUUUUAAACCCUAAACUGAACUUUUCCCAUUCAGUCAGCAUUAGGGUUUUAAACCCUAAACUGAUUUUUCCUUUAGUCAGCAUUAGGGUUUUAAACCCUAAACUGAACUUUUUCCGUUAAUCAGCAUUAGGGUUUUA